ACAGAUACAGAUGUGUGUUUCAGCUCUCUGGUGUGAACGAGGACAUCGUCACCAGACUGGACAAAUCAGAGAUCAAGACCAAUGAAGGUCCUUCAGCAUUCCCUAUUCCUGCUGUUGUUGGUGGUGGUGUUGGCAUAAUGGUCAUCCUGGGAGUCGCUGCUGUAGUCUACAAAAAGAAAGCAAACAAUGGAUUCAAACCUGCAAACAAUUCAGACACUUCAUCUUCAUCAUCUGAUGGUUCAGACACUAAGAAAGUAUCUGCUGAAGAGCGGAAAAUGAUCAACUCCACAGCAUGAAAAUAAUUUGAGUCCACCGUAAAAAAAAACUAAAUUAAAAAAAAAAUUAGAUAUCAGAUAAUCUUUUUAAAUUUAUCUCCAGAAAUAUUUCUAAUUAAAUAUUUUGUUUAAUCCUCAUUGGUAAAGUUAAACUGGGCACAUGAUUCAGUUCUCUCAAUGGGUUUCUGAGACUUUGUCUGUGGUAGACAUGAAGAUAAUAUAUAGAAAAAGCUGUUUUUCCUGUUUGUUAACCUUGUUAAAAUUGAUGUUGUUGAGUUAAUACUCUCAACUUUUGUCACAGAUAAGUAAAAAAUACACAGCUCCACCACACAGCUCAUGUAGAAUAUGAGUGUAUCAUAGCAGUUUGAAUCUCUCUUUGGUGUGUAAAUAUUCUUAAAAGGGCGUGAGUUUAAAUUAAAUGUAUUCUUCUCUUACAAAUUACAAUGUGUGUGUAUAUAUCCUAAAAUGAUUUAAAAUGACAGUGACAUAAUCUAGUCUAUUAAGAUAACUGUUUGA